rnacentral:lncRNA from 1 species
GACGCUGAGUGCAGGCGAAUUAUUUCCACUACUUCCUGCUAAUUUCAGCACUGCAUUCAUCCAAAGCUCUCGAAACUCUUAAUCAACAGGAAUAUGCUAACCUGAGACUGGGUCACAGAGGGACAGCUUGGAGAUCUGGGGGGGAUUGGUGACAGCUGCUGCCCUCUCUCUGAAGAGGAUUGAUGUGGAUAUCAUCAUGCUUGUUGACAGGAGGAGGGAGGAGCCGGACUUUUAAGGUCUCUUCCAAUCUGGGAAGGCUAUGAAUACCGCUACCAGCUGAGUGAUUCUCCAUGCUUUAUUCAUCACGAAAAUGACGCAAAUUCAGUAAAGCAGCUCUCUCGAAGCGAGAUGUCUUGCCUUUUUAUGGAAUAUUCCUCAGGCUCCAAGUGGGGGAAAAUGGCAGACACAUGGUUAUUUCCCAAAUACGUUUUCCUUAGAUGGUCUUCGUCAUCUGGGAAAAGUUGAUGAGAAACGGCUUCGCAUUCUGUUUCAGGACCCGUCAAACUCGGAGACUGUAAACAUCUCCAGGAGCAUUUUCUCAGUGACCAGAUGUUACACAGCUGCAUUGCAAAUUGUCGUCAGAGCUCAAAAGACAAGGGAAGAGAGGAUUGUUGGAACCACGAAGGCAUAUGACACAGUAAACGGUGCAUUUAAUUUCGACUUAAUGGGAGAGAUAGCGUGCAUUAGACAAAUACCAUCUGAUCAUUAAAAACAUAUUUAUGGAAGUAUAGCAACUUUGUCAGGGAUGUGUGACUAAUCACACCGAGCUGUGAGUCCUCAAAAACAUAUUUGUCUUAAUCGACUGGUGUUUAGUUUGGAUUAUUGACUGUUAAAUCAAAAUAGAAGUUUUCACUUGAGAUUUUGCAUUUCAUUUGUGACUGAUUCGUCUUCAUCAGAUACCCG